CUUUCUAAGACUAGCCAUGCACGUCUAGUACAAACUAAAUGAUGGUGAGACUGCAAAUGGCUCAUUACAACGGUUAUGAUGUACCCGGGAGUUCCGAUGGAUAUUUCCAGUAACACUAGAACUAAUACAUGUCCCUGCGUUUAUUAGUUUCGCACAGUCCGUCGCUGAGUCAUGGUAAACAGUUGAUCGACUCGACGUCCCGGAACAGUUUCCGCCCCAUCAGCUUCGAUGGUUGGGUAUUGGCCUACCAUUGCAACAACGGGUAACGAGGAAUUAGGGUUUGAUUUCGGAGAGGGAGCCUGAGAAACGGCUACCACAUCUACGGAUGGCAGCAGGCGCGCAAAUUACCCAAUGCAGACACUGUGAGGUAGUGACGAGAAAUAAUAAAGCGGGACUUCUGUUUCGCUAUUAUAAUGAGGAAUAACCAAAGGUCAUUCCGAUUAGCAACUGAUGGGAAAGUCUGGUGCCAGCAGCCGCGGUAAUACCAGCGUCAGUAGCAU
rnacentral:rRNA from 1 species